rnacentral:misc_RNA from 1 species
CACACGAGCGCCCUCACGUCCUACGCUCAGGCGGUGGAGAUCAGGCCGUCAGAUCCCGUCUAUCGCUACCAGUUCGCGGUGGCGCUGAUGAAGGCCGGACGCAUGCAGGAAGGGCUCGAUCAGAUCGAGCGCGUGAUCGCGCUCGAACCCUACUUCGCCGAGCCGUAUCUGUUCAAAGGCGCCGCUCACGAGCAACUGGGAAAGCCCGACUCCGCCCGCGUC